rnacentral:rRNA from 1 species
CCUACGGGAGGCAGCAGUGGGGAAUAUUGCGCAAUGGGCGAAAGCCUGACGCAGCGACGCCGCGUGAGGGAUGAAGGUCUUCGGAUCGUAAACCUCUUUCAGCAGGGAAGAACGGUCACUGUGCUAAUCAGCAGUGAAUUGACGGUACCUGCAAAGGAAGCACCGGCUAACUCCGUGCCAGCAGCCGCGGUAAUACGGAGGGUGCGAGCGUUAAUCGGAAUUACUGGGCGUAAAGCGCUCGUAGGCGGUAUGUCAAGUCAAGGGUGAAAUCCCCGCGCUCAACGUGGGAACUGACUUUGAAACUGGCAGACUGGAGUGUGUGAGAGGAUAGUAGAAUUCCAGGUGUAGGAGUGAAAUCCGUAGAUAUCUGGAGGAACAUCAGUGGCGAAGGCGACUAUCUGGCACAUAACUGACGCUGAGGAGCGAAAGCGUGGGUAGCAAACAGGAUUAGAUACCCCGGUAGUC